GACAAAGAGUAGAGAGAAAGGUAAUUCUAAAGCUAAUGCGAAAUGCUGGACAUUUUGCUUUUGGGAGGCGGUGAGAGACUCAGCUGGCCGGGAAGGGGGCCUAUGAGCCACUGAGUUUCUAACAAUGUAAUCAAGAGUCAACACGUGGGCAGAAAAUAGGACGCUUUGAAAUUCACUAUCUUCAGAAAGCCUUUCCAGACUCCAGCUACUCUUCUGCCGCGGCUUUCUUACUUCUUUUCUCUUCUCGGCUUAUUUGGGUUGGCUUCUUUGCCCACGACUGUCACUCUCCACCAAAGACAGAGGAUCCGAUGCAGGAGGCAGACAGAGCUGGGCUUCAACGCCAUGCCACUUGCUGUAGCUGGAGCCUUAUCUGAAAAGGUGAGAGGGACCACGUCAGCCUGCAGACCCACCCACCAACCACUUAAGGUCAAGACAACAAGCUCUUCCCAAGGCAAACCAACCCUAGGACAAAAAUAGAGCCAUCAUUCUGACCCAUUGUCCUUCCGACCAAUUCCUUGGCUUCCCAGCCAUUUGGAAACCUCACUGGGAAGUUUGGAGACCUGUGCUUGCAGGCUGGCCUGGCACAGACAGGUAAGGAAGGACCUUACCUAGAGUGCAGGUAAGGGUGGGCUGCUCCAUCAGAGGCACUGGGGGCUUCUCAACAGACUGUAAAUUAAAGACGCUGCAAAAAGUCCUCUGUGGGGAUGAAUAGGGGGAAGGGGCUUGGGCACUGAGUGCCACUAACCUUCAUCUUUUCCUCUAAGGCCAGGGUCAGCAGCCCAAAUAAACAUGGUGCCCCACAGAGAUGGUCCCGCA
rnacentral:lncRNA from 1 species